UACAGAGGGUGCGAGCGUUAAUCGGAUUUACUGGGCGUAAAGGGCGCGUAGGCGGUUCCAUGAGUGUGAUGUGAAAGCCCUGGGCUUAACCUAGGAAGUGCAUCGCAAACGAUGGAACUGGAGUAUAUGAGAGGGUGGCGGAAUUUCCGGUGUAGCGGUGAAAUGCGUAGAGAUCGGAAGGAACGUCGAUGGCGAAGGCAGCCACCUGGCAUAAUACUGACGCUGAGGAGCGAAAGCGUGGGGAUCAAACAGG
rnacentral:rRNA from 1 species